rnacentral:rRNA from 1 species
UACAGAGGGUGCGAGCGUUGUCCGGAAUCACUGGGCGUAAAGGGCGCGUAGGCGGCGUGACAAGUCACUUGUGAAAUCUCCGGGCUUAACCCGGAGCGGUCAAGUGAUACUGUCGUGCUAGAGUGCGGAAGGGGCUACUGGAAUUCUUGGUGUAGCGGUGAAAUGCGUAGAUAUCGAGAGGAACACCUGCGGCGAAGGCGGGUAGCUGGGCCGACACUGACGCUGAUGCGCGAAAGCCAGGGGAGCGAACGGG